rnacentral:misc_RNA from 1 species
GAUGAAGAACGUAGCGAAAUGCGAUAAGUAAUGUGAAUUGCAGAAUUCAGUGAAUCAUCGAAUCUUUGAACGCACCUUGCGCCUUUUGGUAUUCCGAAAGGCACACCUGUUUGAGCGUCAUGAAUACCUCAAUCUCCAUCUUUUCUUCGGAUUGAUGGGUGACUUGGAUGUUGAGCCCUGCUGGUAUGCUAUAUCAGCUGGCUUUAAACUUAUUAGCCGGCUCUGUACUGGAUCGGUUUGACUCGACGUGAUAAUAUUAUCGUUGAGGAUGCAUGUCUCAUGCAGCCGGAAAGUAUCAAACCAGCUUCUAGCUUGCCUUUAGUGCACUUUUACAUUUUAGACCUCAGAUCAGGUGGGACUACCCGCUGAACUUAAGCAUAUCAAUAAGCGGAGGA